ensembl:lncRNA
AAGCUCUCUUAAUUUCCAAUGUUUUCUUGUCAGCUUUAUGAUGUAUGCUUCAUGUUGUCUGAUGUCGCCAUAAUAUGUUGCUGCUGUGUUUACUUUCUUUAGCUUUAUAUGUUUAAAGUAUGAAAUGCUAUGAUGAUGGUGGAUUAUUGUUAUUAUAGUAUAUUAAUAAUGUUUAUAAUAUUGUCUUUUUUUACUUUGCAGUGUAUGUGACUUUUCCUUUCUGGUACCUGGUGGUGGCCCCUUUCCCCUUCACUCUCCCACUCCUUUGGGCCUCCCUGAUACAGUCACCUUGUGGUAAAACACCUGAGUGUAGCGACAUCAUUUUUUAGCAUAGAAGAUAUUUUUGAAAUAAAAGCCUUAUUUUUAAACCGAGACUGUUAACCAACAUGAAUCUAUAAAUAAACUGGACACUGUUCAAAAAAAAUAUAAUUUCACCUCUCUCUUUCUUAAACAAAUAAGAACCUAAUAUUCAUAUGUGGUAUUCUCUGGGUGAAAGUCCCAGAGUGGCGUUGUCUCAUUGCGGCCAGGCACAUCAGUUUCCCCGGUCACAUACACAUGACUUUUCCGGCUCAUCUCUCGCUUCCACACUAGGACAACCCAUCUGUUAUUUUGUGGCGAUGUUUGCAUGUAGUGCCUGCACUGAUGUGACACAGAGACUCAACUCAUGUCAAACAAAUAUUUACAGUUGAAUAUAAAUACUCAGACAAAGGAUGAAUGAAAAGCAGUGUGAUUAUGAAAACUGUAGCUGAAAUUCCCUGCCAACCAUGAGCUGUAAAAAUAGAAGAGGGAGGAUCGAAGUUGCAAAGGCUGUCUCAUAUCAGAUACUUUUCAUUCAUCUAAAAUUGAACCCAUUGUACAAAAUCAGCAUUUAUUAAGUUUUUAUUGAAAUAUUUUAUUUUAAUGCAAAUAAUUUUACUCUUGCGACAGCCUUGCGAUGUCCUGACUUUUGUUUUAAAAUAAAACAUUGAACAACUGUCUUGUUUAGCUAAAAAAAGUAUUCUUCAGCGGUUAAAAUAACAUACUGACAGUAAUAUUUAAGACAUGUUGAAAUGAAAUUAACUUCACUGGCCUGCAGUUGUUAUUGCUGGCCAAACACACCAGGCUGCAAUACAAGUGAGUAGAUUAAUUAUUUUGAUCCCUAAUUUAGUAUACCUAGUGAGGACAUUUCCACUUUUUAAAAUUCUUUUAUCUCAGCAGUACUGCUGCUUUGCUGUGCGGAUACACAGCUGGGAGUGAAUUAAGAAUCCAUGUCCGCUGAGCAUCUGUUUAGUAGAGAAGAUAAUGUCUGCUGCACCCCCACCCUCUCUACCACACAUACACUCCAGGUCUGGCGUGAUAUGCAGCAGCCUAAAUGCCUAAAUGGUGACAGUCUAGCCAGAGACUGUGUAAGAUAAAUUUCAAUGUCUCACUAUUAAUGGAAGUUUGUAGAGAGGCAUUGCGAGUAAUCUGCAGGUAAAAAACAACUGGAAUAAAUUAUGUCAUUUUCUCUGCUGUCACACUUUGUUUUUUUCAAAUAAAAUAACUUAAAGAACCUCAGUUGUUACAAUGGGAACAUCUAUUGCUCCUUUUGUUUUAGGUCACUUUACUCAACAUUUGGACUUUUAUGUUGUGGUCCUCGGCACAAUCGGUCCCUAAAACAGCAUGUGACAUUAUCCUAUUUGACUCAAUCAGUUUAGAAGCCAUUAUUUUUCCUCUAAGACUUUGCCCUUGUCCAACUAUAAAUGCUAUGAGAGUUAAGGGUGUUCUAUGCCCAGAGCUCCCUGAUGUAUUUAUGUACCACCAUCUUUUUUUUUUAAGCUUAACCGUACCGUGUGGAUGGCAACUUGUAACCGGAGAUGAGAGUGGUUACCUGGGCCCCAUUUUGUGUCUCUAAUGAGUCUCCGCUUUGAACAACAUUGUAGGUAAAUUAAAAUCUCUUCAGAUAAGUGGCAAAAUGCUCUAAAAAUAAACUGAUUUAUUCCAAGCUGACAAGCCAUUGAAGCAUCUACAAAAUAUGUGUAUACUUGUAUGUAUAUUUCUAGUAUGUUUAAAAAUAAGAAUGAGAUUAUGUAUGGACUGAUUUAAAAGAAAUCUGUUGAUAAUGAAUUUUACUGCUCAAUUGGCCUUGCAGCAGAUUGUGUUGAAGCAUUUACUGGAUCUACCAGAUGGGGACCUAAUGAGCCUUUUUCCGAAGCAACACACAGAUGGAGACAAUCUACUGUUUGCAUUCACACUAGCAUGUUCCCGUUUUGGGGGAUGGAAAUUUGAUUUCUCUGCAUAUGCCCGCCCAUUCACAAACCUUGCCCACAUUGAUGAACAGACAAAUCCAUGUACAUCUUCUGGUUUUAACGGUUUACCAGCAUAGAGGUACAUCUAUAGUAUCUGCUGAUGCCACCAGCAAUAUUGUUCCUCCCUGUAAUGAACUCAAGAAAAGAACUAUGGAUCAGCCAUGAUGUGAUCUGUCCGCCAAAUGUAAUACAGAAUGGGAUUUUUUAAAUGGAUGCGACUGGACGAUCAAAUCCAUUAGCGUAUACCUAAGGUGGGCUUAGCACUGAUUGGCCUAAAGGAGAACUGAACACAUCUAUAACAGCCAGUGUGACGGGGUAUUACUUAUGGCAAUAUGCAUGAAAGCGUUAUUCAGAGUCGUAUGUAUAUUUGACAUGCUAAAAGUUAACAAGAAAAAUGCAAAGCUCCAUCAAGCAACAUUUUUGAUGUUGCCACUAACCCUUGCUCUGUUGAGUUGCAUCUGACCAAAAAAAUAAUUCAUAUAUAGUAGUAAAAGCAUCGGGCAUGCCAUGUCCAAGUUUAUACCCACAUUGUUUUGUGUCAGACUUCACAUUCUCAGUUUCUAAUCUAAUGAUGAAGAGUGUUACUGACUUCAUUGAAAGGCAGCUUUUCCGUGCUAUCUUCCCAGAUAGGUAUAUUAGGUGUCAGUUGUGCUUUCUGUUUUACUUUGAUCCACACCCAACAGUGAUGUUUACAGCAUCACACUCCAACACACACCCCAAAGCGUAAAUCUAUAUCACUGAAACAACUGUAAAACUGUAAACCAUAAAAACUCAUGCUACUGUGAUAUGAUUGGGUUUAAUGUAUAUAUUUUUCAGUGACAGACUUUUUUUUUUUUCAGAAACACCUUUUGCAGCCUCAUCAUGUGGAGAAAUUUGGAAAUUAUCACACCUUUCCAUUUUCCUAUAAAUAUAUUUUGAACCUUAAAAAAAGGCCAUUUGAUGAUUAAAAAAAAAAAAAAUUCCACAAAAUUAUUAGAUCAACUUGAUGGUUUAAAGUACACAUUUUAAACAUAAUUAGAACCAAGUGGGAUAAUAAACUUAUUUUAUGCAACAUACAUUUUGGUAGAAUCAGAAUCAGUUGUUAUACUUCAUAGCCUCAACAAACUAACAAACUAAGACUGUAAUCCAACCGGAAAGAUGCCACUACAGUUCAUGUUAACAAAACUCUUCAGCAAAUAUGAUAGCCUUAAACAGCCAUCUACCCAAUGAGUUUAAAUGUUUAAUAAUGGCUGCAUGUGUGUCUGCUUCAUGUGGUAGAAAGAUUAGUGUUUAAUAAUGACAAAGACCGUGGGUCUGUUACAGGGUAUCAUUUUAUUUACAUUACAUUACAGAUCAUUUAGCUGACGCUUUUAUCCAAAGCGACUUACAUUACACUUUAAACCCAUGGCUUAACAUUUUGCCCGGGGAGCAAUUAGGGGUUAGGUGUCUUGCUCAGGGACACUUCAACUUAAAACAUGGAGCAGCCGGGACUCAAACCACCAACCUUGCGGUUCCCAGUGCACCCGCUCUACCCCCUGCGCCACGACGACCCCAUUUAGACGACCCCAUAUUUAAAAUGUUUUUCAUACAUUUCUUUCCAGUACUUGCUUCUUCUAGAAAGACAAGGAGACCACCUAUCUCGGUGAGAAUGCAACCUUGCCUCACUGACAUAAUAUCAGAAAAGAUGUUUACAUGUCUUGCAUCAUUGGAUUAUUACUUUUUGUUAUUUUUAAUAACAAGGUAGCUGCAUAUAGUCUUAUGUUACCAAUGCUUUAGUCUCCAGCACACAAUACUGUUUCUGCAGUUUAGUAAAAUUGAUGAACACUUUUUUAAACCUCCCUUGACAUGGGAUAAUCCAGGAAUAUAUAAGAACACGGACAUUGAGUUAGAGCAAAUAGCAAAUAUCCGAAAAUGUGUGAGCACUUGAAGAACAGCCAUAUGAUGGUUUAUGUGGUCAGACUUUCAAAUGUGCCUCUAAAAAACGAUUUGCUUGUUAUAAUGGUGAUAUAGCUUGGUUGGUGUGGUUAAGUUUUAUUCUAGAUGUUGCAAUCAUCCAUCGUGCACUUAUUAUGCUACAAUGACUGUUUUAAAAGUACCAUUACUUUUUUUAACAUUUAAAUUGUUUAUAAUCAUCGGCUUACACAUAAGUACUUCUUAUUCCUAUUCUAACACUCACUCUUUAAGCAUAAAUAAAUCAGUAUGACAAAAUAUCAGAUUGGUAGUAUAAAAAUGUCAUCUUUACCUCCAGCAGUACAUUCCUGUAAAAACAAAAAUGUGUCAGUUCCAAAAAAUCAUGGAUUUUCAUUUGACAUUCAUCUUAAAAAUGUAUCAAUUACUAUCAAUUUGAAAAUAACCUACAGCAAUUAUCCUAUUUACGCAUUUACACAGUUGACUUGUUUAUUUUGGCAGUUGUCCUCUCUGUAUAUGGCUGCCGUGCCUUGCCUUAACGUCUUCAUGUUUGAGCAUUAUUAUUUCACAAUUAGUGCUAUGUUCUGUUUGUGCUAUAAUGAAUCAGUUGCUCAUACUCUUAUGAAACUUGAUCUGGUAUGGUGGGUAAAUUGUGCAGCAUAGGUCACUACCGUGGUCCAUCUGGUCAAGAAGUAAACCAAACCGUAUGAAAAUCGCCUCACCAGCAAGCCUUAUAUAAUUCUACCUCACCUCAAAGAGCCCUGUAGACCAGCGCGUUCUUCUUGUACUGGCUUGUAUCGCAUGGAGCUUUCUUCACAUCUCCAAUGAUAUAUUUAUAUUGACAAUUUCUUUUUGUUUAUACAUUUUAAUUUGACCAUUCAUAGUGACUAUUACUAUUUCAAUGCUUUUGAAAGAUUAAUUUUAUUGUUCACCAUAGUUUUAUCGUACCAUAGAGAUGGAUCAAGAGACUGGGUGUCACGCUUCCACGGUGAUGCUGUCGCCGUAACUGCAGCCUAUAAGCAGUGCAGAUCUAUCCACGCCAACAAAGCACGGGGAAGCUCAUCUUCUAACCUCACGAUUGCUGUAAGCUGUAAGCCUUGUUUAAUUAUUAAUGACAGUUUUAUAUUAAUCAUCUUUUUCAAAGAGCACUUUCUAAGACCCGAAUGCCAGCAGAAUGUGCACUCUCUCUCAAACAGCUGCAUCUACAAGGAGGUUUGCACAAAGAAUCAGAAGGGGGGUUUGUUACUCAUUCAGUCACGUUGUACCACAGCUCAAACAGUUAGGAAGGGUUGAUUCCUUUUUGUAAGAAAUCUGCUUCCAAACAACAGAUUUAAAUGGAAAGGGGUUUAUAAAAAACGUUUUAUGUUCUUCAAACAAUGGAUACAGUAAAUGCAGGAAUAAAUUAUCAACCUUCAACCUCCCACACAAUAUUUCCGUUCCGACACAGCAAUAGAAAGGCCUCUACGGGACAUUGAAUUAUCCAGAUGCUAGAUAGUGUAAUCAACAGAUGUUGCUUCAGCUGGACUUUCAGUGCGUUGUGCCCUAUAUACAGUGGAUGCAUUCACACAGCACACUUGUAGAUAUUUAUAUUUGCCCUCAACCAAUCGAUAUGUUUAAUAUUCAUUGAAAAAGACCAUAGAAUACAAUAAAGACAAUUUUAAAAUGGCCUACUGUUAUGUAGUUAUUGUCAUCAUACUGUUGGUGGCUUGAAUUGAUACUUAAUUAAUUGACACAAAAAGUCACAAAUUGUGUGAUAGAAUAUUAGAAUUAUCCAUAUUGGCUGCAGUUGGUGAAUGUUUUCAUUCAAAUUCAGUAACAAAAUAUAAAAAUUUGACUCCGGUUAGUCGUCAGUCUCAACAUAGUAUAUACACAGCACAUACAAAUAAACAAGAAAUGAUAAAUACAAAAUAAAAAAACAAUACAAGAAGAACAUAACAACAAACAUUUAACAACUAAAUAUAUAUGAACAUAAGCUGUAUGAGCUAGUCAUCAGCACAAUGAUGUUUAACUACUUCAAGCACUCUGGUUAAGUGCACAAUACAAACCACAACAAAUACAAAUUUGUAAAAGUAUCUUUUCGCCACAAUUUCUUCAGGGCCAAUAAGAGCAGAAUUACCCACCCGAAAAUCUUUCUCGAAACACAUGUUCCAAUAUCUUCGCAUGGUCCAUAUACUGUUUUAAAUAUAAACUAUUUUUGGAUAUUAUUCCAGUGAAUAUCAUUCAAUUCGGUACACAUUAUGAAUGAAUGUCAAACGGUUCUAAAUGUGCCACAACAAGCAGACUUUUCUUUCGACUCCCCCCUUCCUUUUCACACCACUUGAACUACAAGUUUAUAAAAAAAGGCCCCACGGCGGAGUUCUUGGAUUUCUCCCAGGGUUCACGAAUGGAUGCAGUGGAUUGUAGAGGGGAUUGACCGACUAAGGUGAUGAGCUUGUUGCUGAUCCUAUUUCUGGUGUGUCAUACGGGCCAAUCUGUGGUGUUAGUGCAGUCACUGUUUUCACCUGUUGUUUCUGGUAGCCGCCAUGUAACGGUGACACAUGAGAUCACAUCUCUUAUUGCCAAUAUAAUUAUAUCCGUGACAGCUGACAUUUAAUGUAUGACUCUUAUAAGAUCGAUCAAAGCGGUUUUAAAUUCAGAUAACAAAAAGUUAGUCUUCCCAUCUUCCUUCUCUGACAUAAAGAUGUCAUGCAGAAAAUAACAACUAUAUGUUUUCAUUAUGUUCAAAUCAAAAUUGCUUUUUUGUGUAGGGUAAAUAGCAAAUACACAUUGUUGGCAUUAAUUUGUAAUGUUUAAAGAUAGUGGGUUUUUGUGUUUGUCUGUCAAGAGGGUACCCACACUGUAAAAAAAGUACGUAGUUUACGGUAAUAAACUGUUAAAUCGCAAGACCGUUGAUUAAAAAUAGGUCAUCUUCUGUUUCUAUCACAUUGAAAUACUGUAUAUGUAUAUAUCAGCACAAACCAUAAUGUAUGCAUCUAUUUCUUGUAAGAAAUACAUUUUCUCACUGUUAAUUGUAACGAUAACGGAAAUACACCGUAUUAUGAAAAACACUCUGUACCGUAAUUUUUACAUUUAUGACUUAAAAAAAAUACAAUCUGUCCCUGUUAAAUGUACAGACUACUGUGCUGACAACCGAAAUAUAACGUAUUUUAAAUGUAACAGCCAGCCCUGUUAUUUUUGCAUUUAUUAUAUGCAAAGGAUAUAGUUGGUCACUGUUAAUUGCACUAAAAAUUGUACUGAUGACGGUAAUACACCGUAAUAUGAACAACACUCAAUACCGUAGUUUUUGCAUGUAUUACUAAUUAAAAAUACAUUUUGUUACUGUUAAAUGUACGGACUAUUUUGCUGCAAAUGGAAAUAUAACGUAUUAUGGCGUUCACAGCAGGUCCUGUAUUUUUUGCAUUUAUUAUUUGUACAAAAUACAGUUUAUAACUUAAGUGCACAAAAGAUUGUACUGAAUAUAAAUAACAGGCAAUACUGACAUUUUUGCAAAGAUUAUCUGUAAAAAAACACAUUUUGUUAGGUUACAUUUACCACUGUGCUGAUUACAGAAAUACUUUAAUAUAAAUACAACAGUCACCACUGUAAGUGUACUAACCAUUGUGCUAAUAACAGAAAUAUACCGUGGGGAAGUUAACAUGGGUAUAUUAACGAUUCAGAUUUUUUGUGGAAAGGCUGGGACAGAGAGACGGAGAGAAGGAGACAGUUUGAGAGAUACAGAGACAGAGAGACAGAUUGAGAGAGAGAAAGACAGAGAAAGGGAGACAGAUUGAGGGAUAUGGAGAGAGACAGAAGGAAAGAGAGACACAAGAGAAGGGCAGAAGUGUGGUAGUGUUAAAAAAAAACUCCAACGUUCAGAAAUUGAACUUUUCAACUCCACUUCAGCGCCAUUUCUACGCACUCUGCAUUGCUGGAACAACGGCCUGACGGACUCCGGACUACAUUUCUUCUUGAGGUAACUUGCCUACAUAAUCAUCUAAGCUAUAUUUUAAUUUGAUACUUUGUUUUCUACAAUUUUGCAUCACCGUUGCAAAAACGUUGAUGUAAUGUAACGUUAGGUUAUGGGUUUCUGCAUUGAACGUUAGCUAGCUAGCUAACGUUAGUUUACCAAACAGUGGCUAAGGAAAUGUUUCAAUGCACUUACUGUGGCAGGUCGGUUAAAACACAGAGGGGUUAUGUGCUUCAUUGCAAACUUCAUAGAAAUGAACCACGUUGUUUGUUUAAGUGCAUUGAAGCUGGUUGCAAAAAGACCUCUGUUCAAUAUGGAGCAUUUAAGGCUCAUUUCUACCGGACACAUAUCGUUAACUUAUCAGCUUCUGUUGACGUUACUGUCGGGACAGCUCUCAAAUGCAGUGUGGCGUUAUGUGAACAUCAGUGUCAAAAUACAAAACAGCUAAUAGCUCAUUUGAAGGAGCAUCUCUUGGAAGGACGCGCUGUGAGUUGUCCAGUGAGUGUAUGUAAAAACGUUUUCAUGCUCAAAUCCCCAUUCACCGCUCACAAGUCCCACAAAAUGUAUACAAAAAUGUAUAAUUGAUGUGAUUAAUUAGAUGUGCAGUUAUCCUGGUUGUUAAAAAAUUAACCACAUGAAACAUGAAGAUAAGUCUUGAUUGAGUCUUGAGAGUGAAUGUCAUGCUGUCAGUCCAGCAGCUCGCCCUGUGUUUGUUUGCUUUGCCUGUAUUUGCGCUGUCUCUGCAAGGAGCUGUGGUCUCCUCCUGUUCAUCCCCGAAGGGUGUGGCUGGAACAGCUGACGGCAAUCAGCCAUCAGGGGACUCUCCUACAUCAACCCGGGUCUUCCUGCCAUUCAGCGCCAGAUCCUUCUGUCGUCAGAGAGAGAGGAUCAUCCCAAUCCGCAGUGAACACCUGAGGAUACAAGUCCUCAAGCAGAAGGUCCCGAACCGCUUCGCUUCCUGGAUCUUUAUUUACAAUAAGCUUUAUUAAAUAUUUCCUGAUGUUGACUGAAAUAUAUGCCAACCAAUUGUAAUACAUUAUGCCUCAUAUUUUUGCAAUGGAAUUCUGGCAAAUAGUUGCUGGCAAUUUGCUUUGAACUUUGUAAUAAAAUACCGUAACUCAUAGUUUUACUGUGUUUAUCUCGAAGAAAGACCUUAAUUAGGUUCACAGAAUAAAUGCUCUUUUUAAAAAAAUAUACCGUAUUGUCUUUUACAAACAAAACGGUAAUUUACCGUAUAUUUCAAAGAUUUUUUUUUUUUUUUGCAGUGUCUUUUUUUUAAUCAUUUACUGUAAACAAAACGAUUCUCAACUGGGAAUUUUACGGGUGCAAAAAAACAUACCGUAAUGUAUUAUAUGGUGUCACUUUUUUUUUUUUUUUUUAAGGUAAACCUCUGGCAACCACAGCUGCCAGUAAUUUACCGUAUAUUUCACGGAUUAUUUUUUGCAGUGCAAGACACUGCUAUUAAAACUUAAGACUCCAGAAUUUCAGAAAGCAGUCCAUGAGACUUUACAAAUUUGAAAGUCCGAUGGCAAAAAGCAGGAAUAUGGAAACUAUUACCAGCAGUCAUCCCUACCCACAGAUGUACACUCCCUCCCACACACAAAGCAGCUAAAAAGUAAUUAUGCAAAAGCUUCAGUGCUUGCCCCUGGCCAUUGAGGAGUUUAGAUCCCGUUGAUGCAAUCGGGGGAACAUAACCAUUUGUUUGCAGUUCUAGGGCAAAUGUGAUUAUUUAUUCCACUUUUAGCGUUAGUUUGGGUAUACUCCAAUUCCGUAGGCAAGCAUCUGGCCACUUGAAUAGCUGCUAAAUGUUCCAUUACGUCAGUGUUUCUCUCUAGUGUGUCACAGUGGUAUCGCAGGUGGGUCAUAUGGGGAAUUAUUUUAAAUCAAGAACUUUAUAGAGAACUUCCCAUCUCACAAAAGUGAAAAGGACUGCUGUUUCCUCUCUCAAAACUAAACGCAGAUCAUUGAGCAUGAAUGAAGCCGAAUCAAUCUGCAAUCCUGUUAUAAAAAAGAGUUGCGGUAAAAUAAAAAGGAAAGCAGGCUUUUUGCAGCCACAAAUAGUCAGUUUUAGAUGGUCCACACAUAUCUCCACUAAUCUUGUUUUAUUUCACAUAGGUUGCAUAGCCACUAAUUACAGCCACAAUGAAAUAAUUACUGCUUUUUUUUUUGCACAGAAAAAACUUAAUCAACAUUGUUAAACAGCAUGGUUGUACAUUUUAUUUGUUUUACAUACAUAGUCAUGUGGUCUUAUAUAUCAGCCAGCACAGUUGUCUGUUUGUGUAUUUAUACAACGUGUGUUUGUCUUGGCUCAGUCUGUGAGGCUGUAAGAGCUCCAGUAACAGCACAUAUCUGUCCUUCUCACUGCUUACCAAUAUCUGGCCAUCUGAGGCCUCUGUGACAAACACUCACCUUGAGUGCUGAAUCACCCAUCCCUGGGGCCGGCCGUCUCUGCCUGAUGAAUUUUCUUUGGAAAGAAAGGAGGGGUUAUCUAAGAGGUCACUGUAAUGGGAGCGACAUUCAUCAAUCUUUGCUCCAGAGGAAGCGGCUGAAAUUGGAAAACGGAAAAAGGUAGUGAUUCUUGCAGGCGAGGAGCGGCACAGAUGUGGGAAAGGGGAAGAAAACAAACAAACAGCUUCAACUCAGAGUCGGAGGAUAGCUAAUGGAUUGAAGAUAUGGCAAGUGGGUAGUGCAUGUUUACAUGUUGUAAACUGCAGUCAGCUCAUUCAUCAGAGGUGCCUUAAUAUUCCCUCUAGCCGCCUUUGCUUUUUCUUUGUUAGCAGUCGCCGCACCUUCAUCCACACUGGAGUAAACUCAUCUCAAACACUGAAGUGAAGUAGUGUGUUCAUUUAGAAUUAUGCAUGCAAGCGCACAGAUGCGUUUAUAUAUGUAUGUUUAACAUACGUCUUCAUGUCAUUACUCUCCUUGUGAAGCGUUUUCAUAUUCGCCCUCCAAUCAAGUAUUAUGUUUUCCUAUUCAGAGAAGGCGUACCAUAUUUGGAGCUUUUCAAAUAAGUGUAUUAUUUCAGUGUGUUUUGUUUCCACAUUCCCUGACACACAGUUGGCCGGAGACUCUGAAUUGCCCAAAGGUAUGAAUACUAAUGAUUGUUUAUCUGUUAGCUCUGAUGGACGACUUGAUUAGCGUUUUAAAUGGAGAGCCCUGCAAGAUCCUGGAACUAUGGAAUGGAAUGAGCAAAGACAAUGGCUGAAGCAGAUAAAAACCAGGAUUAUUGUGCACAACACAUACUGGGAAAACAAAUGAAUACUUUUUGUAAUGUGUAGCAGUCUUUAUUUUUAUGACUGCUUAUAAUCUCUUGUUUCUCUUACCUCACUUAAGUGUUCAGUUGGCAUGUGAGCUUGUUUUUUACACCAGGAAGACGAUGUCUUCCUACACACGACUAAUUAAUCGCAUUAAUGUGACAUUUCGAAUCUCAAACGUAUUAAGCAUAUAAGGGAAAGAUCGACAGUGAAAUAUCCGACAGCAUCGUAGUCCAGAGGAUUAUCUACGUGUGAUCUAAAAAAUAAUGGUCAAACUUUAUUUUUACACCAAAUGCACUGCACUCACAUACGGUAUAAUGUAAUUAACCUUUGUGGACUUUAGCAUAUCAAUCAUGGCCAGAUUUAAAAGAAAAUAACAAUACCAAAAGUGUUUGUGUUAGCUUAAGGUGGCAAGGAGUCAUGUUUACACAUUACCUCAAUUUGACAGCCAGUGGACGAGCAACAUCAGGGAGAAACAAAUGCAAUUUAGUAGGGGGUGCAUGGGGGAUGAUAGGGUUCAUUCUGCCAAAUGGAGUGAUGACUAUGUUACCUCGGGGAAGGAUAUGCUAAGUGCCCAAAGGCAGACGAGCACACAAUGGAGUUCAGGGGUGAAUCAUAGGCAAAAAAGAAUUUUAGCUUGAAAUUCAGUAGCUUAUAGAGAAAGGGCAGAGGAGGUGAGGAGAGAAGGUAAGGUUGAGUAUUCUGUAAUGGAGGGGUUAAAUUGUGAAGUUUGUCUUCUUAAUUUAUGCAAAUUUCUACUGCAGACAGCUUUGAAAGAUAUUUUCCAAUCCUUGUCUAUCCUUUCAAGGUGGCUGUAUUGUAUGUAGAGCUGCUCCUUGUAGGUUGAAUAGCCGACCAAUCACUUCUUCUCUUUGUCGACCAAGCAGUAUAUUUUUCAUGCUGAAUGACAUUUUUUCAAUAAACGUGGGAACACAUCCAUAGAAACUGUUGAAACAAUUCCUCAAAGUGUAUUUGUUAUGUUAAUAUUUACGUAUUUACUAAUAACUACCUCAUUUGUCUUGAUGGAUGCAACUGUAGAGAAGUUAACACAGAUUAUUAUUAUACUUUAGACAAGGGUCAUGUAUCCCUCUGUCUUAAGCUUCAUGUCGUUAUGUUCUCCUACUUAAACCCCAUUUCUUUGCUCGAGAGUUCACAUAAGCCAAAAUAUAUGCACAUUGUAAACCUUUUCGUCAAAAUGUCUUUUUAAAUUGUUGCUGAAACAACUAUUUCCCUCUCAAUGCACAGUGUGUGAGUCCUACUUGGAAAGAAAUAUGUUUUUAGUGCAAACACCGAAGUAUCAAUAUUCUUCGGUUUAAUCAGUAUUUAUAUUCAGAUACUUGAAAAAGAAUUCUCCAAAAACAAUAUGUUCUAGUUUGCAAAUUGAGAAAAUAUAUUUUUUUUUUGCGUGUCUCAGAAGUAUUCAAGAUAUGUUUUUAUAUCCUAUUUUCUCCCAAACGCCUUCUUUUUUGUUGAUUUGUUCAUUUUUAAAUCUUAAAUUUUGAACAUUGUUUUCUCAGUGUUUAACUACGCAAGAGGUCAUUUGUCAAAUGUCCACUGAGCGUGGAGAAGACUGAAUCUGGAUGUUCAGCUGGAUUAAAAGUGCAGCCCCGUUGGCUAAAUAUCCCUCUCUAAGGUUUUUCCAAAGACAGCUCCUUUGGGACUAAAUAUGGGAAGUAGGUCAUGCCUUUUGGAACCGCCAUUUUCUGUUGGUACAGCAUUAAUUUUUCAUGUACAUGAAAGUCCCGUAUGGAUAAGGAGAGGGAAUGGUUUGGACAGUAUGCAAACACAGUAGAAUGCAAAUCAAUAUAGUACAUCCACAGUACGGGAAUAUAAGUUAUUAUAGUGAAAGUAAAAGUUUGUAAUCACCUCAAAUCCGAUAUGCUGAAUUGCUUAAUUUUCCUAUUUCAACCAAAAACUGAGAACAAAUGGAAAUGGAAGUAAGAUGAAUACAAGAAAAAAAAAAACUUAGUGACUUUCUUUUUCAUGUUUGAAAUAAAUGAUCACAUUCCCCUCAUUAUUUCCCCAAAAUGUCCCAAAAGAAAAUAAUUUGACUGCAAAUUAUCUUCUUAGAUGAACAGGGAAGAUCAAGUGAACUGCACCAUGUUUUUUGCUAAAGGAUAAAUUAGUAAUAAGUUUUGAUCUUUACGUGCACAUAUGAUUACUUUUCAGAAACGUAGGCUAGCUUUGGAGACGCGCUGUCAUUUCCUAAUUAUUACAUUACAGGUAAUUUAGCAGACGCUUUUAUCCAAAGCGACUUACAUUACACUUUAAACCCAUGACAUUUUUUGCCCAGGGAGCAAUUAGGGGUUAGGUGUCUUGCUCAGGGACACUUCGACAAGGAACAUGGGGCAGCCUGGACUCGAACUUCCCAGCACACCUUCUCUAACCCCUGCGCCACGAUGACCCCUAAUCUCUUAUUGUUACUCAAUGUAAAAAUUGACUCAGGCAUAUAAAGAGGGCAAUGUUAUUAAAAUCAUUCAUGAAACAAAAUGGAAAAGUUAAUGACUAUUACUGAACAUCAGUGUUCCUAGUCACCGUGGAGAGCGGACUGAGUGAUAACUAUACUUUAUCCAUUACUAUACAAUACGAUUAAUCUUAAUUGUAAUACACACAUUAAUGGCAAACAACGUAUGUCGAUAUAUUUAUUGACAAUUGCAAUGUGCCCGGUUACUUUUGGUCUCCCUGGGGUAACAAGAAGGCGGAUACACAUGGGUUGUUGUUAAGUCAUUUUUAUUGUUUAGGAUUGGCAGGCAAAAUCAAACUUUACUUUGUACCAGUUCUCCUGUGUCCUGUGCUCUCUCGACUGUUUCAGUCCAGCGCUCCGAUCGCCAUUAC